rnacentral:tRNA from 1 species
UGGUGUAGUGCUUAGCACGGCGGACUUCGGAUCUGGAGUUUGGUGGUUCGAGUCCAUC